AUGUUUAAAACACGGGUCAUACAAGGAAAUUUUGGUGUGGAGGUGUGGAUUUCACUAAUGCUUUACAUUAAAAACACCCAAACUACAAUGUGCACACUCAGCUGGACUAAGAUGAAGGUCUCAGGUGCUCACGUCUGGCUUCUCUUAUUGUUCCUGUUCCAAAGUGACAGAAACCAGGUUUCAGGCCAGUGUUCAGUACCCACAGCACUCUGCUGUCCUGGAGUGAAUAGCCAAUGCAACCGUGGUGGGUGUUUUUGUGAUGAGUUCUGCGUCACAAGCGGGGACUGCUGUGCUGACUACAAUCAGAUAUGCAUUCAGCCACAUUCGCCACCAUCCUUUAUAUCACCUUCAUCAACCACACUAUCAUAUUCACCGUUCUCAUCAACAUCCUUAUCAACCUCAAUAUCACCAACCUCACAACCUUUAUCUUCCUCAACAUCAGCCUCACCACCAUCUUCAUCCUCCCUACCUACAACCAACCAAUCACCAACAUCAUCACCAAUCUCACCACCAACUUCAUCCUCCUCACCUACAACCAACCAAUCACCAACAUCAUCACCAACCUCACAAACAUCUUCAUCAGUCUCACCAACAACCAACCAAUCAUCAUCACCACCACCAACCUCUGCAUCUUCAUCAACAUCCCAGCAGAGAAAAAACAUCAGUGCAAUCACAGUCUUCCACAUGCGUGUUCGCUCAGGAGCCAAUGAGGAAGCAAUGCUGAAGGCUGUGCAGGAUUUCAUUCUCCACCUCCAGGGCUUGAUGAGGAGACAGCAGUGUGAAGACUGCAGUCUACGAGUGCUAAACAUCAGCAAGAAACAUCGCUGAUUACAUCAAGUCAAAUAUAUUAGAAUUAUUGAGAAUCCACAGUUUUUCACUAAUUAAUCAUUAUUACCUGGUCUUCUUCCACGUGUUUGUUUAAUACUCCUGGUGUGGAAAUGGUGUCACUAGAUGGCACUAGAGGACCGAACCUGUAAUGGAAAUCAUAGAGGAUUGUCCAAUCACUGUCUAACCUUAAUUUUAAUUUUAAUAUAGAGCUGCUAUAAAUGUCGAUCAAUUUAGUAUAUUCUUAUUUAAAUUAGAUUUAUAUUAGCAAUAUAUAUUAGAAUGUAACGAAAAAAGGAAUCUUAGGAUGGUUGUAUCAUAAAUGUUGUUUCAAAAGAUAGGAAAGAUAGCAUAAUAAUACAAUAACUGCCUGUUUCUCAAAUAUUCUUAUUAGGAAUCUUUAUUUCCAUAGCGUAAAUGAAUUAUUCCACAACCAACUGAUUUCCCACAACAAAAAUGAGAGUUUUAAGAAUAGGCUACUUUUAUUGUCAUAGGCCUUUUUGAAUUCAAAGCUAAGUGUUGUAGUUGGUUGUUGUACAAUGUAUAAUAGUAGCAGCAUAUAUCAAUAUAUAUAAAUAUAUUGGACUUAAAUUUAAUUAUCAUUUGUUUAAUAAAACUUUGUGAAUGCCCUCUUAUUUUUUUUUU
ensembl:lncRNA